CUCUCUCUCUCUCUCUCUCUCUCUGCGAAUAUGGCUCCCCUUCACCCAACUUCGCCUCUGCCUCCUCCCCUCACACUGCUUAGCCACCGCCUCCCUCUCUUGCUCAACAACCACAGACAGACGAUACCGCUGCCGCUCUUCCCAUGCUGGCAAUCUCCGCCUUCAUGCGCUUCCUCCAAAGACUGCUUCCUCCGCCAAUCUUUGCCCACUGCUUCCUCUAGCCCUAAUCACUUUCUUUUAAGUAUCAUUCGGUGACCAGAUGGAGCCCUAAUUGCAUGUGUUAACUAGAAUUUCUUGGGAGCCCAACCAAGGGUACGACGAAUUAGAGACAAUGGCUAGCAAACGGAAUCCAACACACGUGGCCAAUGGAGAAGAAUAUUCACGGGUAUGAGCCUGCACAUGUGGCCAAUGGCUAUUUCGAGAAAACAAGAUUUAUGCAAAACGUGCUUUAAGCAAGUUCAAGAUCAGUACGGGCUGGUUUGUGUGUAAUCAAUGCGGACGAAUGUCGAAACCGUAACCAGGUAUAAUGUCAAGAUGGUCGUGAAAAACUCCACUAGCUCAAUGGAACUCUUGCUAGAGGAUACAAAGGCAGAAUUUAUCUUACAAUAUGUCGCAUCCUAUCUGAAAAAAUUAAUGUUAAAGGUAAAUACUUAAAAGUUAGAUAUAAAUUACACUGUAUAGAAUUAAAAUAAUAUUGCAGUACCUUUAUUUGCUUAUUGUUUGGCUAAGAUAAUGGCGUGCAAAUGCUCAAUGAUUAUAUUUCUCAAUAUUAUGGGAGCUCAUGCGUAUUCAUUAUUCCUGCUCCAACAACUGGGAGUCUUGACCAUGGUGCCUCUGUGGUGACUUUUGUUUUAAAAGUUGAUUGGUCAGAAGAGUGUUUGCAUCUUUCCAAAGGAAUGUCGAGGACUGGCAAAGAAACAAUGGGGUCGUCAUGAUAAGAGAUUUGUUAAUAGAUUGGGAAUUUCAUAAGGAAUUUUUAUUUGUUAGGUUAAGUUUUACAAAUAUAUAUUCGGUUUUAUUACAUGUGCCGAGUGAUUUAUGGAUUAGGGAUAUUUUUGACCUGUUUGAAUAUUUUUUGCA